rnacentral:rRNA from 1 species
GACAGAGGAGCCAAGCGUUGUCCGGACUGACUGGGCGUAAAGCGCCCGCAGGCGGCCGUGCACGUGGGGUGUGAAAGCGCUCGGCUUAACUGAGCGAGGCCAUCCCAUACGGCGCGGCUCGAGCCGUCCAGAGGCCGGUGGAAUUGCCGGUGUAGUGGUGAAAUGCGUAGAGAUCGGCAGGAACACCAGUGGCGAAGGCGGCCACCUAGCCCGCACCUGACGCUGAGGCGCGACAGCGUGGGGAGCGAACUGG